AACGAACGCUGGUGGCAUGCCUAACACAUGCAAGUCGAACGAGACCUUCGGGUCUAGUGGCGCACGGGUGCGUAACGCGUGGGAAUCUGCCCUUGGGUUCGGAAUAACUCAGAGAAAUUUGUGCUAAUACCGGAUGAUGACGAAAGUCCAAAGAUUUAUCGCCCAAGGAUGAGCCCGCGUAAGAUUAGCUUGUUGGUGGGGUAAUGGCCCACCAAGGCGACGAUCUUUAGCUGGUCUGAGAGGAUGAUCAGCCACACUGGGACUGGGACACGGCCCAGACUCCUACGGGAGGCAGCAGUGGGGAAUAUUGGACAAUGGGCGAAAGCCUGAUCCAGCAAUGCCGCGUGAGUGAUGAAGGUCUUAGGGUUGUAAAGCUCUUUUACCAGGGAUGAUAAUGACAGUACCUGGAGAAUAAGCUCCGGCUAACUCCGUGCCAGCCGCCGCGGUAAUAC
rnacentral:rRNA from 1 species